AGAGUUUGAUCCUGGCUCAGAACGAACGCUGGCGGCGCGUCUUAAGCAUGCAAGUCGAACGGCAAGAGAGAAGCUUGCUUCUCUCCUAGAGUGGCGGACUGGUGAGGAACACGUGGGUAAUCUACCCUUAAGAUGGGGAUAGCUGCUAGAAAUAGCAGAUAAUACCGAAUACACUCAAUAUUUCAUAAGAAGUAUUGAGGAAAGGAAGCUACGGCUUCGCUUGAGGAUGAGCUUGCGUCCCAUUAGCUAGUUGGUGAGGUAAAGGCCCACCAAGGCGACGAUGGGUAUCCGGCCUGAGAGGGUGAACGGACACAUUGGGACUGAGAUACGGCCCAAACUCCUACGGGAGGCAGCAGCUAAGAAUAUUCCGCAAUGGACGAAAGUCUGACGGAGCGACGCCGCGUGGAUGAAGAAGGCUGAAAAGUUGUAAAAUCCUUUUGUUGAUGAAGAAUAAGGGGGAGAGGGAAUGCUUCUCUGAUGACGGUAAUCGGCGAAUAAGCCCCGGCUAAUUACGUGCCAGCAGCCGCGGUAACACGUAAGGGGCGAGCGUUGUUCGGAAUUAUUGGGCGUAAAGGGCAUGUAGGCGGUUAUGUAAGCCUGAUGUGAAAUCCUGGGGCUUAACCCUAGAAUAGCAUUGGGUACUGUAUAACUUGAAUUACGGAAGGGAAACUGGAAUUCCAAGUGUAGGGGUGGAAUCUGUAGAUAUUUGGAAGAACACCGGUGGCGAAGGCGGGUUUCUAGCCAAUGAUUGACGCUAAGGUGCGAAGGUGCGGGGAGCAAACAGGAUUAGAUACCCUGGUAGUCCGCACA
rnacentral:rRNA from 1 species